UAUUAGGCUAAUUUUCUUUUUAAAAAUAUUUCUUAAAUGCAGUGUCUUUGUAUGACCGUGUAGAGGCAGCAGAGUCCUGCUGUGGCUUGCUUUGUCGGUCACUUCAUGUCUCUGUACUGCUGCUGCUGCUGCUUUCCAGGGUCUUUCAUCGCUUUUUCUGGCAGCAUCUCCUCAACUAAUCUAAUCAAGCCCUGCUUUCUGUGGACGGCGGAGUCUUUAGUCCGUGUAAUAUUUCUCGACUGAUAUUAAAGAGUUUUCACAUCCUCUUCGGUCAGCAGCUAGCCAGGUGACUAAUGGCGGGACUCGUGAUGAAUUGUUUAUAAGUCAGAAGAACCUGACACUGCUUCAGAAGGGCCAGGGCUAAUGAGCUAAAGACAAAGAACACCUUCAGGAGACGCUCGCUGAAACCCGCCCGAGCGUGAUAUGUUUAAAGAAAAAAAGAGUAAAAACGACACUGCAGCAAAGCGUCCACAGCCAAGGGCAGAACUGACUUCCUGCAAACGCAACAAAAGUCGUUACAGCCGAAGCGUGCGCUUUCCGCUCCGCUAGCGUAACGAAAAAGAACUACAAAAAAUAACGACUGUUGCGCACUUGGUUUCCGGAACACUCCCCCGUCUUUCAUUGGUCGAGAAACCGACAGCCCCGCCCCUACACUCACGCCAUUGGUUCUGCUAGCGACCAUCACGUGCGAGACGUUUUGUGGAAAAGGAAAAUGAGCCACAGGUUGUUCCUAAUGAAGGCAUUCUGUCGAGCGAAGUGAACUUCGGCUGAUACGCGGCGCGUGGGGAGCAGGGGGCAGUGAACGCUGGGACUCUGUCGAUCAGAACGCAGCUCAAGAAUGAACACCCAAGGUUCUGUGAUGCUUUCCAAAAUGUCGGCAGAAGGUUACUCUGUGAGGAAAAAUGAUUGCGGUAUUCCCUGCACCACACAGUCAUUUGGAUCAGUCACCAGAGCAACGUCUCCUCCCUGCACUGCAGAAGAAGCGCCAGGCCGUCGCUCCGUCAAACGGCAGCGUCAGCUCCGCACGCCUCGGUGCUCCACAGAUCUGCAGACGCCAUCAAUACAAGCCAAACUGCCAGCAAAAUGGGCCGAGCGCUUCAGAAGACGAUAACCCAGCGUAGGGUUUGAUUAGACAGCAGGUUUAUAACCGUGCAGGGGAAAUUGCAUCUGGCCGUCAUAAACAGUGAUUCCUCGCUGCUUCAUCUCACGUGAGCGCCGCGCUGCUUACCAUUAGCGCUUUAUUGCCACUGCAAAGCACUGCCGUUCACCGAGGCCCAGCCAACCCCGCUCAGGUGGCGUACAUCCAAGACUAGAGCGGGAUGGGAUAGGGGAUACUUCAGAGCGAGGAAAUCCCUGGCAGGAGGAUCCCAGCUCAGCACUUUCUCACCUCCGCAGAGGUCACUGCAGCAAGAGAGUCUCUCCAAGCGUCAGCAGGGUCUCUGGCUGUCUGCUCCACUCCUUGUCCUUUAUCAGCGGCAGGCGUAACACUGUCAUCUCACUCAGACUUCCUCUUUGAGCAGUGACAGCCAUCUUACAUCCACAACUGAGAAGAAGAUUAGUGAAAGCCUAAGUUCAGGAACGCUUCUCCAGGAAAACUGCAGAUGUGGGUGGGGGAGGACUGUCAGCUUCACAAAGAGAGGAGAGAAAUCAAAGCGGAGAGCACUGCAGGCAGGAGGAGGUGCGGCGCUUUGCAGAGGGAUCCCAGGCUUUUCCACAUCAGGAGGAAACCCUCAGGGCUGCUUCAUGCUUUCAUUCCUUCCUGCUUUCACUGUAUCCCUGUCACUCUGCCUUUUUCUCAAACAAGAAAUGUACACUGCUGAGCAAACUAUUCUCAAGAUCAUCUUUAAAGGCAUCGUUUUGACAACGCUGUGACAUAUUUAAAGAUUUCAAAAAGUCAAGAUUGUACAAAAAAAUAAAUCUGAAAAUGUAUUAGAAACAAAAUAAGUUUUCAAUUUUUAAAUAUUUUAAAAUGUUUGUCAUGCAAAGCUGAAUUUUUUUUG